rnacentral:lncRNA from 10 species
AUUAAAUAAUUUGGGGCAAUUGUGCUUUGGAUGUAAUCAAGAACAUAAAACUUGUCAGCAGUAGAUGAGCUGUAAGAACUGGCUAUGGCAGACCCCUGGGAGAGAUAAAUGUUUUAUUUUGUCGUGUUUGGUAUGCAGCAUCAUUUUGAUUUUUAUUAGAUUAGUCUUUUCUUUUGACUUCUUUUCUUGCAGGCUCUUUCUGAAGGCAACAUUAUAAGGCUUCAAAAAUAGCACAGUGAGCCAAGAGAAACUGCAAAGACACAGCUGUGGGAUGGUGAUUUGGAUAUAAAAUUCUCUGAGCCAGGGUAUGAUAAGCUGUUGGACCAUCUUAGACAACCAUCUAGACCCUGGAGCCAUUGUAGUUUGGAUUCCCAUGACCUCAGGUGCAUCACUGAUGAAAGAAACAAGGAGAUUCCUGAGGGGACCAGACAGAACAAAGGAUGUUUCAGAGCUACCUUUAUGUAUUAAAUACCAAGAACAAGAUGGGAUGACUUACACCUUAGAGAGACUCUUGUGGUCAUGUGACAUCGAAAAUUGGCUAGAUCUGGCAGUUAAAUGAGUUUGAUUGAAAAAAAUUAGAUAGAACUCUUUUUUCCCCUCACUACAUCAGCUAGCUGCCAAAGGCUGGGUGCUCUAAACACUCCCUUCUCAUUG